UGGGAACUGCGUUNUGAACUGGGUGACUAGAGUGUGUCAGAGGGAGGUAGAAUUCCACGUGUAGCAGUGAAAUGCGUAGAGAUGUGGAGGAAUACCGAUGGCGAAGGCAGCCUCCUGGGAUAACACUGACGUUCAUGCCCGAAAGCGUGGGUAGCAAACAGGAUUAGAUACCCUGGUAGUCCACGCCCUAAACGAUGUCGAUUAGCUGUUGGGCAGCAUGACUGCUUAGUAGCGAAGCUAACGCGUGAAAUCGACCGCCUGGGGAGUACGGUCGCAAGAUUAAAACUCAAAGGAAUUGACGGGGACCCGCACAAGCGGUGGAUGAUGUGGAUUAAUUCGAUGCAACGCGAAGAACCUUACCUGGUCUUGACAUGUACGGAACCCUCCAGAGACGGAGGGGUGCCUUCGGGAGCCGUAACACAGGUGCUGCAUGGCUGUCGUCAGCUCGUGUCGUGAGAUGUUGGGUUAANUCCCGCAACGAGCGCAACCCUUGUCAUUAGUUGCCAUCAUUAAGUUGGGCACUCUAAUGAGACUGCCGGUGACAAGCCGGAGGAAGGUGGGGAUGACGUCAAGUCCUCAUGGCCCUUAUGACCAGGGCUUCACACGUCAUACAAUGGUCGGUACAGAGGUUAGCCAAGCCGCGAGGUGGAGCCAAUCUCACAAAACCGAUCGUAGUCCGGAUUGCACUCUGCAACUCGAGUGCAUAAAGUCGGAAUCGCUAGUAAUCGCAGGUCAGCAUACUGCGGUGAAUACGUUCCCGGGUCU
rnacentral:rRNA from 1 species